rnacentral:rRNA from 1 species
GACGAACGCUGGCGGCGUGCCUAAUACAUGCAAGUCGAACGCAGUGGGGACGGGUGAGUAACACGUGGGUAACCUCCCAUCAGAGGGGAUAACACUUGGAAACAGGUGCUAAACUGAUACUGAUGGAUGGACCAGCGGUGCAUUAGCUAGUUGGUGGGGUAACGGCUCACCAAGGCCACGAUGCAUAGCCAACCUGAUAGGGUGAUCGGCCACACUAGAACUGAGACACGGCCCAGGCUCCUACGGGAGGCAGCAUUAGUGAAUCUUCGGCAAUGGACGGAAGUCUGACCGAGCAACGCCGCGUGUGUGAAGAAGGUUUUCGGCUCGUACAGCACUUUGGUUGGGGAAGCGGUAUCUAACCAGAAAGCCACGGCUAACUACGUGCCAGCAGCCGCGGUAAUUC